rnacentral:lncRNA from 1 species
AUUUUGUUUGAUUCUUAUGUUGUUCAUUUUUGUUAUAAAUCAUAUGUCUUUUAUUUUUCGAAUUUAUUUGAAGAUGAUCCAAAAUACCUAGAGUGUGAGAGCUCUGUUUGCCUGUAGUAGAAACUUAAUCAAAACUUAAUCAGUAGCGGUUACAUAAAUAAGUGAUUUGGGUCAGGUGAAUAUACACUCAUAUGUAGUCAUAUACAGUCAUAUAUAUAGUCA